GAUGAACGCUAGCGGCAGGCUUAAUACAUGCAAGUCGAGGGGCAGCAGGAAUAGCAAUAUUUGCUGGCGACCGGCGCACGGGUGCGUAACACGUAUACAAUCUGCCUUUAACAGGGGGAUAGCCCGGAGAAAUCCGGAUUAAUACCCCACAACAAUAGAACAAGCAUUUGUUUUAUUUAAACGCUCCGGCGGGUAACGAUGAGUAUGCGUCUGAUUAGCUAGUUGGUGAGGUAACGGCUCACCAAGGCGCCGAUCAGUAUGGGAACUGAGAGGAUUAACCCCCACCCGAAUACUGAGACACGGAUCCGACUCCUACGGGAAGCAGCAGUAAGGAAUAUUGGACAAUGCCCGCAAGGGUGAUCCAGCCAUGCCGCGUGCAGGAAGACGGCCCUAUGGGUUGUAAACUGCUUUUGUACCGGAGAAAACCGCCCCUCGUUAGGGGAGCUGAUAGUAUGGUAAGAAUAAGCAUCGGCUAACUUCGUGCCAGCAGCCGCCGUAACAC
rnacentral:rRNA from 1 species